UACGGGGGGGGCAAGCGUUGUUCGGAAUUACUGGGCGUAAAGGGCUCGUAGGUGGCCAACUAAGUCAGACGUGAAAUCCCUCGGCUUAACCGGGGAACUGCCUCUGAUACUGGAUGGCUUGAGUUUGGGAGAGGGACGCGGAAUUCCAGGUGUAGCGGUGAAAUGCGUAGAUAUCUGGAGGAACACCGGUGGCGAAGGCGGCGUCCUGGACCAACACUGACACUGAGGAGCGAAAGCCAGGGGAGCAAACGGG
rnacentral:rRNA from 1 species